UACGUAGGGUGCGAGCGUUGUCCGGAAUUACUGGGCGUAAAGAGCUCGUAGGUGGUUUGUCGCGUUGUUCGUGAAAACUCACAGCUUAACUGUGGGCGUGCGGGCGAUACGGGGCAGACUGGAGUACUGCAGGGGAGACUGGAAUUCCUGGUGUAGCGGUGGAAUGCGCAGAUAUCAGGAAGAACACCCGUGGCUAAGGCGGCUCUCUAGUACGGUACUGACGCUGAGACGCGAAAGCGUGGGGGAGCGAACAGG
rnacentral:rRNA from 1 species